rnacentral:rRNA from 1 species
UUAUCGAUGGCGUGACGCAGGAGGAUAGUGUGUGCUAGCUAUUGGAUGCUAGUCUAAGCGUUUAGGCAGUGAGAGUAGGCAAAUCCGCUCUCAUAAUGCUGAGGCGUGAUGGGGAAGGUUCUACGGAACCGAAGUACAUGAUUCCACGCUGCCAAGAAAAGCGUCUAGAGAGAGAAGUAGUGCCCGUACCGCAAACCGACACAGGUAGGUGAGGAGAGAAUCCUAAGGCCGGCGGAAGAAUUACAGUUAAGGAAAUCGGCAAAUUGACCCCGUAAGUUCGCGAGAAGGGGUGCCUACGAGAGUAGGCCGCAGAGAAUAGGCCCAAGCAACUGUUUAGCAAAAACACAGGUCUCUGCUAAAGCGUAAGCUGAUGUAUAGGGGCUGACGCCUGCCCGGGGCUGGAAGGUUAAGGGGAACACUUAGCGCAAGCGAAGGUGUGAACUUAAGCCCCAGUAAACGGCGGCCGUAACUAUAACGGUCCUAAGGUAGCGAAAUUCCUUGUCAGGUAAGUUCUGACCCGCACGAAUGGCGUAAUGACUUGGGCACUGUCUCAACUGUAAAUCCGGCGAAGUUGUAGUGCGAGUGAAGAUGCUCGCUACCCGCGAUUGGACGGAAAGACCCCGUAGAGCUUUACUGUAGCUUAGCAUUGAGUUUUGGUAUUGUCUGUACAGGAUAGG